AUGCCAGAGAUGCUAGUGUUGGUUUCCGCAAUUAUGGCCUGCACUGUUGUCAUACUGUGUAUGCUGGUGACCGCAGUGUGGGUAGUACCAAAGGUGAAGGCCCUGUGUGCGAGGCGGAGAGAAGACAGGUCCAAGGCUCAUAACGUAGUCCAUAACGCAGUUUAUGAAGAUAUGCGCGCCCACCGUAUGCGACAGAUCUAAUUUGAGCCCCCCUUUCCUGCACUCAGUGGUUUAAGGUUUGCCCUAUUCAUCAUUGCUGGAUGCGCAAAACAACCUCGUUUGCUCUUCCAAUGCAGAUACGAAAGACUUCAUUUUUGCUGCUGUCGGGACAAAAUCUCGUAUCCCCAUUUUUGUUGUUUGUCAGUUUUUCACAUAAUUUGAAUGUACCUUUUGGCCUUUAAAUUGCGUGCAAAUUUCAUGAUUAAUGGACCAAUAUAAAUGACCUAAAAUGACUUGGGGAACAAUUCUGGUUCCAUUGACCUACAAGUGUAAAGUAUGUUUUUCCUCUACCUGUAAAGUUUCCAUUACAGGAGAUACAAGGUAUUUUACAUUUUUCCCCCUUUUUACCAUAAUUAAAAAAACACCUGCUGACCUUUACAUUGUGUAAAAAAUUCAUGAUGAACGAAGCAUUUUAAAUGCUUCAAUGACUUCGAAAAAAAAUCUGUCUGCAUUAACGUCCACUUACGGUUUUUACCUGUAAAAUGACCAUUUUGGAGAUACAACGUUUUGUUCCGACUGCAAUGACAUUUUACUAAUACAAAGUAAAUCACUUUUGUCGGAAGAAAACCUUGUAUCUCUAAAACUGUAACUUUACAGGAGGUAAAAAAAAAUCAAUGGAACCAGAAUUUUUUACAUUUUAGGCCGCUUCUUUCAGUCCAUUCAUUAUGAAAUUUACAUAUAAUGUAAAGAGCAAAAGGCAUUUUCAAAUUAUGUCAAAAACUGAAAAACGGGAGAUGCAAGAUUUUCUUCUGACAGCAGCGAAAUGCUGCAUUAUGUGUAUAUUGCUGUAUAUUGCUGUAAAUAGAUACUUUUAAAAUAUUUUGUAAUAUAAUGCCAAUAUGUUCUAAAGGUGCAACUAAUAAAUAAAUAAAUACUUAUGUUUGUUACAAUGCAUGCAAGUUUACUUCUCUUUCACUUACACACACACACACAGAUAUUAUAUACAUUUUCUAAGCCGCUUCUCACUUGGGGUCACGGGGGGUGCUGGAGCCUAUCCCAGCUGACAUCGGGACGUGCCACCAGUCCAUCAC
ensembl:lncRNA